rnacentral:rRNA from 1 species
AUUGAACGCUGGCGGCAGGCCUAACACAUGCAAGUCGAGCGUGAAAGGGCUUCGGCCUGAGUAAAGCGGCGGACGGGUGAGUAACGCGUAGGAAUCUACCUGGUAGUGGGGGAGUAACGUUCCGAAAGGGACGCUAAUACCGCAUACGUUCCGAGGAAGAAAGCGGGGGAGUCGCAAGACCUCGCGCUAUCAGAUGAGCCUGCGUCCGAUUAGCUAGUUGGUGGGGUAAAGGCCUACCAAGGCGACGAUCGGUAACUGGUCUGAGAGGAUGAUCAGUCACACUGGAACUGAGACACGGUCCAGACUCCUACGGGAGGCAGCAGUGGGGAAUAUUGGACAAUGGGCGCAAGCCUGAUCCAGCCAUGCCGCGUGUGUGAAGAAGGCCUCGGUUGUUAAGACGACUUAAGUACGGGAGGGAAGGGACCGUGGUGGCGUAAGUACCCUACGUGACCGUU